GUCCACGCCGUAAACGAUGGAUGCUAGCCGUCAGCAAGCAUGCUUGUUGGUGGCGCAGCUAACGCAUUAAGCAUCCCGCCUGUGGAGUACGGCCGCAAGGUUAAAACUCAAAGGAAUUGACGGGGGCCCGCACAAGCGGUGGAGCAUGUGGUUUAAUUCGACGCAACGCGAAGAACCUUACCAACCCUUGACAUGCCCGGACGGUUUCCAGAGAUGGAUUCCUCCCAGCAAUGGGUCGGGACACAGGUGCUGCAUGGCUGUCGU
rnacentral:rRNA from 1 species